rnacentral:miRNA from 1 species
AAAGUUGCAUCUUGAACAGCAG